rfam:Dipodomys ordii contig_29672, whole genome shotgun sequence.
GGUGGCUCAGUGGUAGAGAGCUUGCCUUGCAUGCAUGAGGCCCUGGGUUUGAUUCCCCAGCACCA